CAGUGUGAUAAUGAUUAGUUAUCCUCUUUUCAUUUUUAAAUUGAAAAAACUUGAAAUUCACAUAAUAUUUCGUUCGAAAUAUUUAAGAAACUAAAGCAAUAACAAAACGCCGUAUACUUCCUCCUGUCAAAUGUAUGACGUCACAUGCGGCAAUGCAGAUGCGCGGAUUUUUGAAAACAUGACCUCGUUUCAAUUGAUUUUCUCCACAAUAAGCUUAAAACUGCAAACCGGCCAGCUCCGAGCUCUCUGCCGUUCAUAUCUUAUUCACAAACCUGCAUAAUCACGCCGCUUCUUCCGUUAAAUUAGUAUCAGUGUGCUUCGUCCCGUCUUCCGAUAAUCCCAUGUGAAAAAACCCGUGUUUUCUUACUUUUUACUAAUGAUGGAGAGUGUUAUAGUGCCUACAGAGUGUCUUCACAGCCAGGAGAGGCGGUACACGCCAGCAGAGAACCCGUAUAAUAUAGAUUUUUGGAAGGAAGUACGGCGACGCUGGCUUGUGUUUGGGGUGCUAGCAGCCAUCGCUCUGGCCGUGAUCUCGCCGCGACUCGGCGCGCCCGGAGGCAAACAUGCAUGCUCACUCUUAGAUCAUUCUAGAACGCAUUGCACCCAUCCGGCCAUGUACUUGAAUCAGUUUUUCUUGGCCCCCUACACGCUGAGUAUCUCUCCUGGGUGCCAUCAUCCGUGAUCUACUUUGGCGCGGGCGCGCGGCUGCGGCGCCCCAGGGCUCCAGCGAAGGCCCUCCGGCUAGCUCUUGCGACGGCUUUACACGCUCAUGUCGCGGCCCCGGCUUUGGCUGUGUGCGCUGUCACUGUGUUUAGUGCAGCGCUACACGGAUCUGUCAUCAAUGGCGCACUGCUAUCAUCAGUGGGGUCCGGUUGCGGAUGGUUGUCACUAGCCCUCGCGCCGCGGGCCGCGCUCCCUGCCGCCGCUAGCUACACAGCCUCUCUCCUAGCCACGCCACUGAGUGCCUUGAUACUUGUACGUAUUAUCAGCGCACUGCUAUCAUCAGUGGGGUCCGGUUGCGGGUGGUUGUCACUAGCCCUGGCGCCGCGGGCCGCGCUCCCUGCCGCCGCUAGCUACACAGCCUCUCUCCUAGCCACGCCACUGAGUGCCUUGAUUCUUGUACGUAUUAUCAGCGCACUGCUAUCAUCAGUGGG